GUGCUUCGGAGAACAUAUAAAAGUUGUAUGCAGAUACAGGGAAGAUUAGCACAGCCCCUGUUUGAGGAUGACACACAGGUUCGUGAAGCAACAAGAGAAAAUAUUU